GCACAACUGAAGAGUCCCACAAUAGGACGAAACGGCCGUCCAGUGC
rfam:Schistosoma haematobium scaffold87_4, whole genome shotgun sequence.